AUUGAACGCUGGCGGAAUGCUUUACACAUGCAAGUCGAACGGCAGCACGGACUUCGGUCUGGUGGCGAGUGGCGAACGGGUGAGUAAUACAUCGGAACGUGCCCAGUCGUGGGGGAUAACGUAGCGAAAGCUACGCUAAUACCGCAUACGAUCUACGGAUGAAAGCGGGGGAUCGCAAGACCUCGCGCGACUGGAGCGGCCGAUGGCAGAAUAGGUAGUUGGGGGGGUAAAGGGUCACCAACCCGAUGAUUUGUAGCUGGUCCGAGAGGACGACCAGCGACACUGGGGCUGAGACACAGCCCAGACUCAUACGGGAGGCAGCAGUGGGGAAUUUUGGACAAUGGGCGCAAGCCUGCUCCAGCCAGUCCGCGUGCAGGAUGAAGGCCCUCGGGUUGUGAACUGCUUUUGUACGGAACGAAAAGGCUCUGGUUAAUACCCGGGGCUCAUGACGGUACCGUAAGAAUAAGCACCGGCUAACUACGUGCCAGCCGCCGCAGUAA
rnacentral:rRNA from 1 species